rnacentral:rRNA from 1 species
AUUGAACGCUGGCGGCAGGCUUAACACAUGCAAGUCGAACGAGUGGCGGACGGGUGAGUAAUGCUUGGGAAUCUGGCUUAUGGAGGGGGAUAACGACGGGAAACUGUCGCUAAUACCGCGUACCAUAGGAUGAGCCCAAGGGGGAUGAGUUGGUUGGCGGGGUAAAGGCCCACCAAGGCGACGAUCAGUAGCGGGUCUGAGAGGAUGAUCGGCCACACUGGGACUGAGACACGGCCCAGACUCCGACGGGAGGCAGCAGUGGGGAAUAUUGGGCAAUGGGCGCAAGCCUGAUGCAGCACUGCCGCGUGUAUGAAGAAGGCCUUAGGGUUGUAAAGGGCUUUAGUCAGCGAAGCGUUACCUGAAGAAUAAGCACCGGCUAACUACGUGCCAGCAGCCGCGGUAAUAC